rnacentral:rRNA from 1 species
UGCAAGUCGACGACAUAGUGGCAGACGGGUGAGUAACGCGUGGGAACGUACCUUUCGCUACGGAAUAGCUCUUGGAAACGAGUGGUAAUACCGUAUACGCCCUCCGGGGGAAAGAUUUAUCGGCGAAAGAUCGGCCCGCGUUAGAUUAGGUAGUUGGUGGGGUAAUGGCCUACCAAGCCUACGAUCUAUAGCUGGUCUGAGAGGAUGAUCAGCCACACUGGGACUGAGACACGGCCCAGACUCCUACGGGAGGCAGCAGUGGGGAAUCUUGCACAAUGGGCGAAAGCCUGAUGCAGCCAUGCCGCGUGAAUGAUGAAGGCCUUAGGGUUGUAAAAUUCUUUCGCCAGGGAUGAUAAUGACAGUACCUGGUAAAGAAGCCCCGGCUAACUUCGUGCCAGCAGCCGCGGUAAUACGAAGGGGGCUAGCGUUGUUCGGAAUUACUGGGCGUAAAGCGCACGUAGGCGGACUUUUAAGUCAGAUGUGAAAUCCCGGGGCUCAACCUCGGAACUGCAUUUGAAACUGGAAGUCUGGAGUUCAGGAGAGGUUAGCGGAAUACCGAGUGUAGAGGUGAAAUUCGUAGAUAUUCGGUGGAACACCAGUGGCGAAGGCGGCUAACUGGACUGAUACUGACGCUGAGGUGCGAAAGUGUGGGGAGCAAACAGGAUUAGAUACCCUGGUAGUCCACACCGUAAACGAUGACAGCUAG